GAAUAUUGGACAAUGGGGGGCACCCUGAUCCAGCCAUGCCGCGUGUGUGAAGAAGGCCUUUUGGUUGUAAAGCACUUUCAGCGAGGAGGAGGCUACUUAGAUUAAUACUCAAGGAAAGUGGAGGUUACUCGAAGAAUAAGCACCGAAGAAUGCGGUGCCAGGAGCCGCGGUAAUACAGAGGGUGCAAGCGUUAAUCGGAUUUACUGGGCGUAAAGCGCGCGUAGGUGGCCAAUUAAGUCAAAUGUGAAAUCCCCGAGCUUAACUUGGGAAUUGCAUUCGAUACUGGUUGGCUAGAGUAUGGGAGAGGAUGGUAGAAUUCCAGGUGUAGCGGUGAAAUGCGUAGAGAUCUGGAGGAAUACCGAUGGCGAAGGCAGCCAUCUGGCCUAAUACUGACACUGAGGUGCGAAAGCAUGGGGAGCAAACA
rnacentral:rRNA from 1 species